UACGUAGGGCGCGAGCGUUGUCCGGAUUUAUUGGGCGUAAAGAGCUCGUAGGCGGCUUGUCGCGUCGACUGUGAAAACCCGGGGCUCAACCCCGGGCCUGCAUUCGAUACGGGCAGACUAGAGUUCGGUAGGGGAGACUGGAAUUCCUGGUGUAGCGGUGAAAUGCGCAGAUAUCAGGAGGAACACCGGUGGCGAAGGCGGGACUCUGGGCAGUAACUGACGCUGAGGAGCGAAAGCGUGGGGAGCGAACAGG
rnacentral:rRNA from 1 species